CAUAGGUUAAUGAGGCGAACCGGGGGAACUGAAACAUCUAAGUACCCCGAGGAAAAGAAAUCAACCGAGAUUCCCCCAGUAGCGGCGAGCGAACGGGGAGCAGCCCAGAGCCUGAAUCAGUAUGUGUGUUAGUGGAAGCGUCUGGAAAGGCGCGCGAUACAGGGUGACAGCCCCGUACACAAAAAUGCACAUGCUGUGAGCUCGAUGAGUAGGGCGGGACACGUGGUAUCCUGUCUGAAUAUGGGGGGACCAUCCUCCAAGGCUAAAUACUCCUGACUGACCGAUAGUGAACCAGUACCGUGAGGGAAAGGCGAAAAGAACCCCGGCGAGGGGAGUGAAAAAGAACCUGAAACCGUGUACGUACAAGCAGUGGGAGCACGCUUAGGCGUGUGACUGCGUACCUUUUGUAUAAUGGGUCAGCGACUUAUAUUCUGUAGCAAGGUUAACCGAAUAGGGGAGCCGAAGGGAAACCGAGUCUUAACUGGGCGUUAAGUUGCAGGGUAUAGA
rnacentral:rRNA from 1 species